CCACAGCAUGGCUUGCCAAGCAGUGCUAUGUCUGCACCUGGGAUCCGAACCAGUGAACCCUGAGCUGCUGAAGCAGAUCGUGCGAAUUUAACCACUGUGCCACUGGGCCAGCCCCUAGGUUUUAAUAAAAAAAGAAGGAAGGAGAUAAAAUGGGGCUGGAAGGAAGGGCCUCAAAUUCAGUGUCCAGCCACCCAACAUCUGACCUGUGUGUCCUCUGACAGUUCCUCCCAGGGAGUCAUGGCAACCUAAAAUUUCCUGGGGACUACAGGUUAUGCAUUUUUGGCAAGAAUAUCAAGGAAGGGAAGUCGUGUCCUUCUCAGAGCAUCAUAUCAGGAGGCACGCGAUCUCUCUUGGUUCCAGUAUCAGUGACGUGAACUUUGAUCUCUUGCUUCAGGUGGGGAUGGCCAGGUUUCUCCACUAAAAGUUAGUGUUUUUACUUUUGUCAUUAAUAAGCAUUUUGUGGGGAGAUACUUUAAAUACUCUGUUUCUCAUCAUAUCUUGCCCACUGAUUUUAGGAUUCCAUUAACGAGUCCUCCUGAAACAAUUAUUACUGGGGAGUUUAACUCACUUAUAAAUGUAAAGACAAUACAAUUACAAAGCAAAAAUAAAAGAGCCUUCUAGACAUAUGGACAGGACUGUCUCACUUCUUACACCUCUAACUGUGUUUGGUUGUUUUCAUAGUUUUGUCUCAUUUAGUAUAACUUGGUCAGUUGUUAAGUAUAUAAAAUGUUACAUGUCACAUCUACAUUGCUGUGUUUACUUUUAGGAGUAACAAUAUUUCAGCUGGUGCCUCAUCCUUCUAUCUGAUUCAUUCUUGUCUUUCAGAGCAAAUAGUCCCUUUGGAGCUCAGAACUACCUUCUAAAUUUGAUCUGAACUUAAGUUCUGUCCCCCUCUAUUCAGACUGAAGAUACGUGGUAUUCCUCUGUACGCCCCAGUGACUCGAAUUUCUACUCGGGACCAGACUUUUCUUGGUGAAUGACUCAGCAUUUUAUCCUCUGACAUUUUAAGAGAACCACUUUGCUAUUAAACUGAAGCCAUAUAUUAAAGUUAAACCCCGAAGCAAGCCUGGGUCCAACAAAGGUUAGACAAAGAUAAGACAAUUUGUCACACCUACCAGCCUGCGAAGUGCACGGCAGAAAUGAAAUGAGAUUCCAGAACCAGAACACGCUGGGGCCUUUGACUACAAAUUCUAAUGGAGAGAAACUCUUCUCGGGGGUGGCUGUAGCUCUGGCUUCGGACAGACCGUCUCUUGGCUGUGUUGAUAGACCACGUGGAGGGAUUCUGUGCUCCAGACCUGAGGCCCGAGUUAGGACAGCGUGUUGAAAGGGGGCUUAAAAGCUGAACUUCCAAAUUGGGAAAGUUGUAAAUUUGUAGUGAGUCAUUACUGAUUUUU
rnacentral:lncRNA from 1 species